rnacentral:rRNA from 1 species
UACAGAGGGCCCAAGCGUUGUUCGGAUUCACUGGGCGUAAAGGGUGCGUAGGCGGUCGGGUAAGUCUGAUGUGAAAUCUCACAGCUUAACUGUGAAACUGCAUUGGAUACUAUCCGGCUAGAGGAAUGGAGGGGAGACUGGAAUACUUGGUGUAGCAGUGAAAUGCGUAGAUAUCAAGUGGAACACCAGUGGCGAGGGCGAGUCUCUGGACAUUUCCUGACGCUGAGGCACGAAAGCCAGGGGAGCAAACGGG